GAUGAAGAACGCAGCGAAAUGCGAUAAGUAAUGUGAAUUGCAGAAUUCAGUGAAUCAUCGAAUCUUUGAACGCACAUUGCGCCCGUCAGUAUUCUGGCGGGCAUGCCUGUUCGAGCGUCAUUACGCCCCUCAAGUCCCCUGUGGACUUGGUGCUGGGGAUCGGCGAGGCUGGUUUUCCAGCACAGCCGUCCCUUAAAUUAAUUGGCGGUCUCGCCGUGGCCCUCCUCUGCGCAGUAGUAAAACACUCGCAACAGGAGCCCGGCGCGGUCCACUGCCGUAAAACCCCCCAACUUUUUAUAGUUGACCUCGAAUCAGGUAGGACUACCCGCUGAACUUAAGCAUAUCAAUAAGCGGAGGA
rnacentral:misc_RNA from 1 species